UCCGAAUAACAAUUGAAUUUUCUGAAUUCAAUUAAGCGCAACUCAUUUGCGAUUGUUCAUUUAGCGAAAUAGUAAUUUUUCACAGGAUUUUCUUUAGAAGCAAAAUUUAUUAUUUAAAUUAGGAAAGGCUUGAUGAAUGAGAUUUUGGAUCGAAAACAUGAAUAGAAUAUUAAAAUCAACUUGUUUUAAAUUUUAAAAUCGGAUUUCCUGAACAAUAUAUGUUUGAUAUAUUUUCAAAUAUUUUUGCAUUGACGUAAAUUCUAACGUGUUCCAAUGCAGUUUGAAAAAGAAGUGCACUUAUAAUGAUAAAGUGACAACUUCUUCUCAUGAAUCAUGAAUUAUUGGAUGAAGAGAUAUAAGUUUGUAAGUAUUCAUCAUUGAGAACAUUCUGCUGCUUAGCAACAACCUGGUACAGCCAUUUUUAUGAAGUUUGUGACUUAGAUUUACCUUACUGUGUGUUAGAAUUUCAUUACAGCAUAUUUAAAGGCGCAUAAAUUUGGCUGCCACAUUUUCCGUCAUGAACUUAAAUUAAAACUACAUUAAAUUUCUUGUUAAAUCCUAUUUCUGAUAAUUACUUUCUUUAACAUUUGUCAAAGGUUUGAAUAUUGCUGAAUAUUCUAGAAUGUUAUAUUGAAUCCACUGUUUU